rnacentral:rRNA from 1 species
UACGUAGGGUGCGAGCGUUGUCCGGAAUUAUUGGGCGUAAAGGGCUCGUAGGCGGUUUGUCACGUCGGGCGUGAAAACUCAGGGCUUAACCCUGAGCCUGCUCCCGAUACGGGCAGACUAGAGGUAUGCAGGGGAGAACGGAAUUCCUGGUGUAGCGGUGAAAUGCGCAGAUAUCAGGAGGAACACCGGUGGCGAAGGCGGUUCUCUGGGCAUUACCUGACGCUGAGGAGCGAAAGUGUGGGGAGCGAACAGG